CCUACGGGAGGCUGCAGUGGGGAAUAUUGGACAAUGGGGGCAACCCUGAUCCAGCCAUGCCGCGUGUGUGAAGAAGGCCCUCGGGUUGUAAAGCACUUUCAGUGAGGAAGAACGCCUGGUGGUUAAUACCCAUCAGGAAAGACAUCACUCACAGAAGAAGCACCGGCUAACUCCGUGCCAGCAGCCGCGGUAAUACGGAGGGUGCGAGCGUUAAUCGGAAUUACUGGGCGUAAAGCGCGCGUAGGUGGCUUGAUAAGCCGGUUGUGAAAGCCCCGGGCGUAACCUGGGAACGGCAUCCGGAACUGUCAAGCUAGAGUGCAGGAGAGGAAGGUAGAAUUCCCGGUGUAGCGGUGAAAUGCGUAGAGAUCGGGAGGAAUACCAGUGGCGAAGGCGGCCUUCUGGACUGACACUGACACUGAGGUGCGAAAGCGUGGGUAGCAAACAGGAUUAGAUACCCUUGUAGUC
rnacentral:rRNA from 1 species